AUUGAACGCUGGCGGCAUGCCUUACACAUGCAAGUCGAACGGCAGCACGGGAGCAAUCCUGGUGGCGAGUGGCGAACGGGUGAGUAAUAUAUCGGAACGUGCCCAGUAGUGAGGGAUAACUGCUCGAAAGAGCAGCUAAUACCGCAUACGACCUGAGGGUGAAAGGGGGGAUCGCAAGACCUCUCGCUAUUGGAGCGGCCGAUAUCAGAUUAGCUAGUUGGUGGGGUAAAGGCCUACCAAGGCAACGAUCUGUAGUUGGUCUGAGAGGACGACCAGCCACACUGGGACUGAGACACGGCCCAGACUCCUACGGGAGGCAGCAGUGGGGAAUUUUGGACAAUGGGCGCAAGCCUGAUCCAGCAAUGCCGCGUGCAGGAAGAAGGCCUUCGGGUUGUAAACUGCUUUUGUCAGGGAAGAAAUCCUCUAGGUUAAUACCCUUGGGGGGAUGACGGUACCUGAAGAAUAAGCACCGGCUAACUACGUGCCAGCCGCCGCGGUAAAAC
rnacentral:rRNA from 1 species